GUCGCUGUGGUGUAGUGGUUAUCACGUUUGCUUUACACGCAAAAGGUCUCCAGUUCGAUCCUGGGCAGCGACA